rnacentral:rRNA from 1 species
CAGCCCUUGACAUCCCGGUCGCGGUUUCCAGAGAUGGAUACCUUCAGUUCGGCUGGACCGGUGACAGGUGCUGCAUGGCUGUCGUCAGCUCGUGUCGUGAGAUGUUGGGUUAAGUCCCGCAACGAGCGCAACCCUCGCCCUUAGUUGCCAGCAUUAAGUUGGGCACUCUAAGGGGACUGCCGGUGAUAAGCCGAGAGGAAGGUGGGGAUGACGUCAAGUCCUCAUGGCCCUUACGGGCUGGGCUACACACGUGCUACAAUGGUGGUGACAGUGGGCAGCGAGACCGCGAGGUCGAGCUAAUCUCCAAAAGCCAUCUCAGUUCGGAUUGCACUCUGCAACUCGAGUGCAUGAAGUUGGAAUCGCUAGUAAUCGCGGAUCAGCAUGCCGCGGUGAAUACGUUCCC